AAACUCAAAGGAAUUGACGGGGACCCGCACAAGCAGCGGAGCGUGUGGUUUAAUUCGUUGCUACACGAAGAACCUUACCUGGGUUUGACAUAUAAGUUGUAGGGAACUGAAAAGGGACCGACCCUUCGGGGAGCUUAUACAGGUGUUGCAUGGCUGUCGUCAGCUCGUGUCGUGAGAUGUUCGGUUAAGUCCGCUAACGAGCGCAACCCUCACUGUGUGUUAUAUGUGUCACACGGGACCGCCGGUCUUAAGCCGGAGGAAGGUGGGAUGACGUCAAGUCAGCAUGGCCUUUAUAUCCUGGGCUACACACACGCUACAAUGGCCAACACAAUAGGUUGCUAAGCCGCGAGGUGGAGCCAAUCCAUAAAGUUGGUCUCAGUUCAGAUUGUAGGCUGCAACCCGCCUGCAUGAAGAUGGAGUUGCUAGUAACCGCAGGUCAGCUAUACUGCGGUGAAUACGUUCCCGGGGCUU
rnacentral:rRNA from 1 species